AAUUUGAAUGCCCGCCCAUUGAUUUUGCAUUCCACAUCGUUGAAAUCAAUGGGAUUUGCCGAUAAUUUACCGAUAAUCGUUGUAAAUAUUACCCAUAUCGUUAAAUACGAAAAGAAGUUGCAAAUGAGUUGCAAAUCGAGUGGUUUG